rnacentral:rRNA from 1 species
CCUACGGGUGGCAGCAGUGGGGAAUAUUGCACAAUGGGGGAAACCCUGAUGCAGCGACGCCGCGUGAGUGAUGAAGGUCUUCGGAUUGUAAAGUUCUUUUCUAAGGGAAGAAGAAAGUGACGGUACCUUAGGAAUAAGCCUCGGCUAACUACGUGCCAGCAGCCGCGGUAAUACGUAGGAGGCAAGCGUUAUCCGGAAUGACUGGGCGUAAAGGGUGCGUAGGUGGUUUGAUAAGUUGGUAGCGUAACUCCGGGGCUCAACCUCGGCACUACUACCAAAACUGUCGGACUUGAGUGCAGGAGGGGCAACUGGAAUUCCUAGUGUAGCGGUGGAAUGCGUAGAUAUUAGGAGGAACACCAGUGGCGAAGGCGAGUUGCUGGACUGUAACUGACACUGAGGCACGAAAGCGUGGGGAGCAAACAGGAUUAGAUACCCUUGUAGUC